UACGAAGGGGGCUAGCGUUGCUCGGAAUUACUGGGCGUAAAGGGCGCGUAGGCGGUUCUAUAAGUCAGGCGUGAAAUUCCUGGGCUUAACCUGGGGGGCUGCGCUUGAGACUGUGGGACUUGAGGUCAGAAGAGGGUCGUGGAAUUCCCAGUGUAGAGGUGAAAUUCGUAGAUAUUGGGAAGAACACCGGUGGCGAAGGCGGCGACCUGGUCUGAUACUGACGCUGAGGCGCGACAGCGUGGGGAGCAAACAGG
rnacentral:rRNA from 1 species